GUGUCAGCCGCCGCGGUAAGACGGAGGGUGCAAGCGUUGUUCGGAAUUACUAGGCGUAAAGAGCGUGUAGGUGGUUAGCUAAGUCGGAUGUGAAAAUUCCGAGCUCAACUCGGAACCUGCAUUCGAAACUGGUUAACUUGAGUGUGGGAGAGGAGAGUGGAAUUCCUAGUGUAGCGGUGAAAUGCGUAGAUAUUAGGAAGAACACCAGUGGCGAAGGCGACUCUCUGGCCUAAAACUGACACUGAGACGCGAAAGCGUGGGGAGCGAACAGGAUUAGAUACCCUGGUAGUCCACGCUGUAAACGAUGGGCAUUAGGUGUAGGAGGUAUCCAAUCCUUCUGUGCCGAAGCUAACGCAUUAAAUGCCCCGCCUGGGGAGUACGGUCGCAAGGCUGAAACUCAAAUGAAUUGGCGGGG
rnacentral:rRNA from 1 species